rnacentral:lncRNA from 1 species
CAGUUUUGUAGCCUCAAGUAAACUAAUAACCAAUGAUCAAACAGAGCUCCACAGAGCUGUGACACAACUUUAUUGGUCCCAUUUGUGCACAUCACCAGAGGAUAUGGCAGCCCUGGGGGCAAUGCAAGAGCCACUCUCUGCUUCAGCUCACAUCAGCUUUCCAUCACCCGGAUCCCAUUCAGGGCCUCCACAUCAUGAGAUGCUACUGCACCUCCAGGACCCCCAAUACGGUACUCACCCUACCCCAGUCCACUCCCAGAGCUCUGUGUCCCUCUUCUUCAGCCAGAGCCUUCAAUAGAGAUUCCUUCGUAGUCCUUGAGCACAUUUUGAUUAAAAAAAAAAAAAAAAAACUUGUAGAGGCAAAUUGGAUUUUUCUUUUCACUGUAAAUAUGUCUGCUUUCCAUUAGAUAGUUUACCAUCUUUGCUGACAAUUAUUUUUUAUUACGGGAACUGAAAUAAGGAUAUUUGUGAAUUAGAGUUGUCCCAAAUUUAAAUAAAUUUAUUUUAAAAUAUUUAUAGAUGAGAGUGAUACUUUGGAUAAUCUGUGAUUUCAUUAGUGUGUUUGUGUAAAUCUGCCAGUGCAGAUCAUUGUCCCUUCACUUGUGUUCAUACUAGACAUUGUCUGUCUAGUCCUUCAUAGACAAUAACUCACAUGCCUAUAGCCUUUUAUGACGUAUCAGAUCAUACACUUAGAGG